UUACAAUGAGUUGCUUUUCUCUAGUAUGAAGAAUGUGAUGAGUUAUGUGCAAGAAAGCCAUGGAAUAGUUAAUGUCAUGCAAGCACUAGAAAGAUUAGAAAACCUUUCUAAGUAAAUGCAUUAAUUUCUCCAAAACGUUUACAUCCAGUUGAUAGACUCUAAACAGCUGUGAGAACUACAGAAUACUAAAUCUUGAAAAAGUUCAUUUAAUUCUAUUAACAAAGAUAAUAAUCUAAAAUUAAGCUGAAUACCUGAUGAUCAGAUGAGAAGCCUUGUAUAAAAAGCACGUUCCCUAGAGAGCAACUGGAAAAUCUUAACUAUCACAUGCAGCUUUGUGAAGCAUUAAGGAGGCAGAAUGCUGCCUGUUCACAAUUAAGUCAAUAGCAAAACUUCAUUUGCAUAAGAAUCAGCAGCAACAUCAAAUAACAACAGAUCUGAAACACAUGUCCAGGCCCUAACGAGAUACCUUGACAAAAUGGCUCACUCUCAACCACACUAGCAGUAUUUCCCUAAAAAUAAAAUAAAAUAAAAAAAAUAAUUAAAAAAAACACUGAUAACACUGAUUUUUCUCUAUAAUGUUAUUGCAAAGAUGAAAAUAGUUAAUUCUGCCUCCUACAAGUUCUCUUCUCUCCCCACCCACAGUGAGCAGAUUUUUUCCUCUUCUUGUCUCUGCCUGAUUUCUAAGUCAAACUCCUAGCAGCUGCUUAUUGAAGACUUCAGUGGUGAUUCCGUCUGGCUGAUGGCAGCUUAUUCCUUUCAAAAUUAUAGACCAAGAAGGAUACACAAUUAGAAAGAUUUCUUCACAGUUUACAAUUCAGGGGAUGAGUAAUUCCAAAAGUAUCAAGAAUCUUCCUUAUUUGCAGUAUUGGUCUCUUCUGUUUUAUUUGGAGGACACAACAAAGAGCUAAGUUAGGAGAUAUCAACAAAUUCAUACCACGCAGAAGGAUCUCCUUUUCAAGGGGGGAGGAUGCAGUUACCAGCUGUCACAUAUAAAAGUUAAUUGCACAUUUUUCUUUUGCAGUGGAGAUUCCUGAAUCCACUUCAAUUAUUUAUUGAGAUAAAAUAAGAUAAACAAAAUAAAUUACAGAAAAAAAUAUUCAAAUGUUUAAACAUAUUUUAAAAGAUAUCUUAGUUUGCUGCUGACUGACACAUAAAUGGUAUGUGAAUAACCACACACACAAGCUUUGCUCACGUUAAGGCUUUGCUGUAAAGCUCAGAGAAGAUUCCAGAAGAAAGACCAAACUGCAACUUGCCACAAGUAAACCAAAAUCUUAUUGACAGUCAUGGUGCAGGUACCAACAGUAGUACCAGCGAGUGUUCAUAGUGAAUCUCUGUGUUACAAGACAAUGCACAACCUGCAUAGAGUUUAUAUUCCAGAGAUCUGGAUUCAGCUUUGAUGCACUGUUGAAAGCUAUCAAUCUUGCUCACACUUGCAAACAAGUAAUAGAACCAUUGACUUUUUGAGAUGUUACUUAUGUAUGUAAUGCAUGGUUAAUACCAGAGACCCAAUGCAGUUUCUGGGUAAGUCAACAAGAACAUUGUUGUUGUUCUAGCAUGCCUACUUUUAGAAAAAGAGAUUUCCAUUUGUGCACGCCUAGGAAUAAAAUUUACAUCAAUCAAAAUUAUUCAUCAGUUUUGUAAUGUCCCUCUGCCUGACAUUCACUGCUUCAUGUAACAAGCAACCUGCUCAGUUUUCUUCUGUAAAGAACUCUACUUGGUAGCCUAGUCAUCUAAUCUGUCCAACAGAAAAGCAGUAGUGCUGUUUGUCAAAUUCAUGCAAGAGACAUAUUGCAGUAAUCAGCUGAACCCUAGGAUCCACUUCACCUUAAAAUUCUUACCUUCCAGCACACAACAGACAAUAUUACAGUCACCAGACAAGCGGGUGUCUAAAGACUACAUUUAAACAGAUUGGGACUGAUCCUCUUUAGGCCAAUGUUGUAACAAGAAGAGUACAGACGAAUUAUUUUAAAAUUACAUCCCUGAGAAACAGUUUAUGAUCCAGCUUCUUGAGAACAUUUACAGCAAUAUUCUCCUUGAGGGUGGACAGCAUAGGUAUUAUUUUACAUUAGCCUACAGCAUCUGGAAACUUGGAUUCAAGUAUGAUAUAAAAGCAGAAUAAGAAUGGACUGAGUGACUUCAAGAAAGUCUCUGGUGAGCGUUUAUUCACAUUGCAAAACUGCUGCUGAGAGAAGGUUGACUCUAGCUUUUGAUGUGGCCAUAACAGACAGACUACUCUAAUGGGAGCUUUAAUUAUACAGUAACAACGUCUGACAGAGAUCCUCAGAUGGAACUAAUCUUUUAACACCUUGACCAAUGUAUUUUUCCUUAACCAGCAAGAGACAUUUAAUAGAUUGGACUAUUAAAUAUCACUCUGGUCCAGACCUGCAUCACAAAUCUAUGAGACAACAUUUACAAUUAAGACAUCCUGAAAUGACCUGUUCUUUUUUUGUUGUUGUUGUUUUGUUUUGUCUUUUUCAGUGUCCAUGAUCUGAUAUACUCCUUUGGUUUGGCUUAUUAUUCUAGUCAUGGAGCUUGUUAAAAUUAGGUCACAUAUCAGAAUCUUAAUUGCACGUUAGGACAAAUGCUGGAAUUAUACAGCUUUUCCCCUUUCCCAAACCUCUUCACCUCAUUAUCUUAGGUUCAGUCUAACCAAGGAUCUCUCUCUAGCGUAUUAAAUUUUUAAUGUUUCCCAGAUUUUUCUGUUAGUAACAUGAAGCUGAAAUUUCUGUCAGGAGAAAACUAGGUUACCACAGAUUAGGAGGAACAGCAAGAACUAGAAAUAAGAACAAGAAAGGAAUUGAUCUGACUUAAGGGACACACGAAAAGACUUAUCUCUUCAGAAUUAAUUCUGAUGGAGUUCAGAUUGCUUUGUAUUUGAGGAGAAAUAUUAAUUUCCUCAUUCCUCAUCCCAAGUGAAUUUACACUGCAGGUCUUUCCCCAGAAACUUGCAAUUACAGAAAGGUAGAAUGUCAGCAGAUUUUAUUUCACUGUAUAUCACUCCACAGUAACACACCACCACCAGUUUCUUCCAGUGACGUUAAAAAUUCAGUAUUAUCUAUAAAGAGAUGACCAUCUAACAGCCCUUGUCAGGGAAAAUAAAUACAUGUUUUGUUCUUCUGAAACUUUUGAUCUUCUUGAAUGUUGCUUUUCUCUGCUCAUUAUACACCAUUUUUUUUCUAGAUCCUCCAUACACACCAGCAUGUCACAAUAUGGCUUAGCCUCAGAUGGACUCCGAGGCACUGCGUCAGGGACCGUUAACUGUUCUGAAAUCUGAUCUCAGCCUGCUUUUUCUUAUUGCUUAAUCAGUUCCUCAUCUCACGCUCUCCCUCCCACAUUAAAUGAAAAGAAAAAAAAAAAAAAAAGCCUCUUAUGAGAAGCUUUGUCACGGGCUUUUUGAAACAUGUCUACAUAAAAUGUUGCUGCGAGGAUGUAGACCACACUAAAACUAAACAGAAAAGGGAUCAGAAGACCAACUGCGUGUGCGUGACUCAUUUUCUGCCACGCAUGUAAACUCUGCCUUGAGAACAGGCAUAAAGGCAGAGAUCAAGAAGUCUUUGAUAAAAUGGGUGCUAUAACUUAAUGAUUGGUAACAAGUGAGCAACAGCUUCACCGCUCUGAGAAGUCAUUGUUCGUGCAAAUCAGAUGCUGGCUCCCAGCAGACCCUCCUGUCUAAGCCAUUCAGACUCUCCCUCCUACCACUGUUAGUCAUGCUGAGUAUUAACAUUAUUCAUUAUUACUCAUAGUUUACUCUUUGAAUAACCCCAUUAAUUUCAGUGAGACAUUUGUAGUAGGAGGUAGUAGAUAAUCUAUGCAUUUAUAUAUGUAUGCGUGUCUAAUUAAAGGCUAUCGCAUUAGAAGACUGAGUUUCUCUUGCUGACUAAGCUGAUCCUUUAAACUCUGGACCCAGAACUGAAGGUAUUGGUGUCUGCAGCUGAAAACAUGCUAAGUCAAGCUCGCAAAAGUACCUGUGUCAGAAUCAGCCUUAACAGCACUUUCCAUGAGGAUAGUGCAGAGUUACACCAGCCUUUCACCUCCAGGCUCUUUGCCUUCAACAAACUUUGAAAGCAGCAGCUGCCUGUCCCUCAGUGCUCCCGAACACUGUGCUAGUAACAAAGUUAGCAAGCAGUUUCAGAAGAAAACAGACAGCUAAGGACAGCUCAGUACCUCACGGGCCACUCCAGUUUUGCCUGCUCUGUUGCUGAUCCCACUGUGACAUUCAAAUGAUUUCUCCUGUGGGUCUUCCUUUUUCUAAAGCUGGGGAGAGAAGCAAGCCAAUUAACCAUUCAUUAGAUCAAACCGUACUCUACCCCCCUCUAUAGGUAUCCUGUGAUAAGUAACAUUUAGGGGAGAGAAGCAGUCUCUCAGAGAAAUCAAGGGCUCACGAGAGCACCUCAAUCAUCCAGGUCCUAAUUAAUUUGAGUGCUGCUGCUUUUAUUUUUUAAAAAUGAGCAUUUAUUCCCUCAGUGAUUUCAGUGCAUUUCCAAACUUCCUGUAUUACAACAUUAAUUCCUUAGUUAUAUUUUUAAAGAGGAAAAUUCUUGUGCUAGCUUCCUGCAGAAACAGACUGGGACGGCAAUGUUACAUGCAGCAAGGAUACCGGCAGGGUCUGCUGGCUGGAAAACAUGCCAAUGAGUCAGAAAAGCAUGACUGAUGUCUGCUCCCUGGUCAUUUCCUUCCAAUAUUCAAAGGAAUUCCUGCUAGGGGUGAGAACUACAACUUCCUUGCUCUGUCCUCGUGCCUUGUCCUCAUUCACCUCCCCCGGACAGGCUACUAGCACGGCUACGAAGUCAUCACCACUACCGGCCUAGUGCCUGAGAAAUCCGGCCAGAGCAGGCAGUGCCUCUGAGAAGGCAGGCUCCUAAUCCCAUCAGGACAGGAAGAUAGCAAUCUGAGAAAAGCAAGCAAGGCGGGACACUUUCUAAAUACUACCACCCACAGGAAAAAUUGUACUCAGCUGCUUCCAGACUAUGCGAGCCUGUUUGUGCUUCUGGCCAGGGCAAGGAGCAGGAAAAUAAAUGUAAGCUGUGCUGUUUGGUGGCUAGCCCUUUUGAGAACCAGACCGGGUCUUUCCCUGAGCUCUCUGGAGGACAUGCUGAAUGUUUGCCCUGUACUGUUGAUCUUGCCCAGCGUCAUGCACUGGACACAUUGGUUCACAUGACUGGUUCCCACUUUGUGUUUGUCUGAAGCCAAGGCUCAACUUCACGUCCAUGAGGGGCAGCAACAGGCUGGUGUGACAGCUGAGAUGGGCUCUGUGGUUCUCAGCUUGUUUACUGCCAGAUCCCACCUGCUGAGUUCCCCUGUUCAACAAAAUCCCACUGCUGGAUGUACCUGAUGAAUAUAGGACACCCUCCUACCUGUACUGCAGCAGAAACCUUCCUGCGUCACAAACCUGACUGUGGCACGUGUCAGAGAGGCAAUUAGGAGGAGGCACGCUGGAUGUUACGAUUGCUGCCUUCUUCCUCAAAUUGUAAACACGAACCAUCCCCUGCAGCUGGGGAUAAUUUUAGCCACCAGAAGCUGUUAAGAAAUAACAGCCUGUGUGCUUCCCCCAGAACUGGUGUUUUUUUGCUCUGACGCAAACCAGUUCUGAGACUGGGGAAGGAAACAUUUAUCUCCCCUGCAGUGGAGCCAGACUAGAGGCAGGCACCGUGUAAUCCAAAACAAUGAAUAACGUGAUCCUAUCAUUAACUGAGCUUUCAAAUACUUCCUCUCCUUCAGAUAGGCUUCUCCUUAACACAGGAGGAGGGGUGGAGUUCUUCUCAGACUUGUCAAUAUUGUCAGAGAUACAUUACAUGUAUUGAUAACUAAGGUGUGUUUCUAGACAGGAGCCAAUGCUAACAUGGACUGCAAUUGCAUACAAACCCUCCACCUCCUCCUUCCAAGAGUUCAGCGAUAAUCUUAUAGAAAUUGAUCAAGACUGACGUAUUUUAGUCUAAAAAGCAUCUGCUCCAGGGCACUUUCAGGCUUGAAUGUGACUGGUGAACUUCACGUUGGAUUCUGAUAAAACAAGAAAACAGGUUUCAUGACACAAACCUGCCCUCUGCCGGAAAUACAAGAAAAUGCAAUGAACUCGUUUUUCAAAUUCUGAAUAAUCCAAUGAACAAUGCCUAAAUACCCCAUCCACAACGUGGAUCCUGCAUAGACCCAAGUCUAAGAAGCAAGAAGGCAAGUGCUGGUGCAGCCAAGAACCUGCAGGAAGCACUGGUGUGAUAAAAAUAUCCCUGUCUUCCUUUCCUCUUGAAAGUCUCCACUAGCUGCACAAAUGCACGGCACCUCUGGGAAUAUUCGUCUUCCUCUAAUAUUUUCAUCCUCCGUACACUGUGAAAGUCAUACCUACUUUUUUCAUGGGAAUAUGCUGCCUUGUCUUACUUCUUCUGAUUCCUUUUUUUUUUUCUCUCUAAAAAAAAAGAAAUUAAAAAAAAAAAAAGAAAAAGGUUUGAACAUGCAUGUAUCCUCUGUCCACUCACACAGACAUCAAUGCAUAUUUAUUAAAUGCCCUUAAGCCUGCUAUGAAGACAUGAUUUGUCAUCUAAAUAAAAUAACCUUGCUAAAACUCAAUCUCAUUGCAAAUAUAAGUUCACAUGAAUGAGUGACUAGUCUGUGUUCUGUGACAUAUGGAAAUUGAGCAAUGCUUCGGAUGACAGCCAUUCUGUAAAGACAUUGUUUGUAGGUAACACUCAGUUAUUGCU